rnacentral:rRNA from 1 species
UACGAAGGGUGCAAGCGUUACUCGGAAUUACUGGGCGUAAGCGUGCGUAGGUGGUUUGUUAAGUCUGUUGUGAAAGCCCCGGGCUCAACCUGGGAAUGGCAAUGGAUACUGGCAGGCUAGAGUGCGGUAGAGGGUAGUGGAAUUCCCGGUGUAGCGGUGAAAUGCGUAGAUAUCAAGAGGAACACCUGAGGUGAAGACGGGUUGCUGGGCCGACACGUGACGCUGAUAGCGCGAAA